rnacentral:lncRNA from 1 species
AAAUACUCAGACAUGCCAGAUCUGUCAUUUGUGGUCAUUUUUCAAGACUUUGAGUCCCGUUUCGGACCUGAUAUUGUCCGAAUUUGAUAAAAUGUAAAAUACGAAAGUUGUAGAACUUUCUGUUGGCUAUUCACAGCAUGUUGAAGCGUUGAAAUUGGAUCUCGAAUGAGAGAGAUACAAGUAAAUUACUCAGACAUGACAGAUUUGUCAUUUGUGGACAUUUUUCAAGUCCACAAAAUAUUGAAAUGAGAAAAUUGAUAAUUGAUCAUAAUCAAUUUAUGGCUUGAAGCCUAGAUCACAUUUUGAGACUAUAAGUCUCAAUAGAAUAUGAUAGACUCAAAGUUUAUGCG